rnacentral:misc_RNA from 1 species
AUGUAUCUCAACCCUCUCUCUUGAAAUAAAGGGGGUGAGGCUUGGACGAUGGAGGAUUGUGCAGGCAUUUUCUGUCUGCUCCUCUGGAAAGCAUUAGCUGGAGAAAAUUCCGUGGGCUUUGCGGUGUUGAUAGCACAAUGUCUACACCAGUCCCCCAAGGGAAAUGGUCUCUGCUGUACUUGCAUGAUUUCAUUCAAC